rnacentral:rRNA from 1 species
UACAGAGGUCUCAAGCGUUGUUCGGAAUUACUGGGCGUAAAGCGCGCGUAGGCGGCUUUGUAAGUUAGAGGUGAAAGCCCGGGGCUCAACUCCGGAACUGCCUUUAAGACUGCAUCGCUUGAAUCCGGGAGAGGUGAGUGGAAUUCCGAGUGUAGAGGUGAAAUUCGUAGAUAUUCGGAAGAACACCAGUGGCGAAGGCGGCUCACUGGACCGGUAUUGACGCUGAGGUGCGAAAGCGUGGGGAGCAAACAGG